UUGGAGGGCAAGUCUGGUGCCAGCAGCCGCGGUAAUUCCAGCUCCAAUAGCGUAUAUUAAAGUUGUUGCAGUUAAAAAGCUCGUAGUUGAAUUUCGGGAUCAGUAGGUCGGUCGUGCCACUGGUAUGCACUGGUCUCACUGGUUCCUCCUUCCUGAUGAACCGUAAUGCCAUUAAUUUGGUGUUGCGGGGAAACUGGACUGUUACUUUGAAAAAAUUAGAGUGUUUAAAGCAGGCUAACGCUUGAAUACAUUAGCAUGGAAUAAUGAAAUAGGACGAUCGAUCCUAUUUUGUUGGUUUCUAGGAUUGACGUAAUGAUUAAUAGGGAUAGUUGGGGGCAUUAGUAUUCAAUUGUCAGAGGUGAAAUUCUUGGAUUUAUUGAAGACUAACUACUGCGAAAGCAUUUGCCAAGGAUGUUUUCAUUAAUCAAGAACGAAAGUUAGGGGAUCGAAGACGAUCAGAUACCGUCGUAGUCUUAACCAUAAACUAUGCCGACUAGGGAUCGGAUGAUGUUAAUUUUAUAAUGACUCAUUCGGCGCCUUACGGGAAAC
rnacentral:rRNA from 1 species